rnacentral:tRNA from 1 species
GCGGGAGUAGCUCAGUUGGCUAGAGCAUCAGCCUUCCAAGCUGAGGGACGUGCUUUAGCAGCGCUAAAAGCG